AAGUCGUAACAAGGUCUCCGUUGGUGAACCAGCGGAGGGAUCAUUACCGAGUUUACAACUCCCAAACCCUGCUGUAACAUACCUUAAUGUUGCCUCGGCGGAUCAGCCCGCGCCCCGUAAACCGGGACGGCCAAGGCCAGCAGGGACCCGCAAAGCCCAUCUCAAAUGUUUUCUUAUUGUAAACUUCUGAGUAAAACAAACAAAUAAAUCAAAA
rnacentral:misc_RNA from 1 species